rnacentral:rRNA from 1 species
UACGUAGGGGGCAAGCGUUGUUCGGAAUUACUGGGCGUAAAGCGCGCGUAGGCGGUUUGAAAAGUCAGAUGUGAAAGCCCCGGGCUCAACUUGGGAACUGCAUUUGAUACUGUCAGACUAGAGUACAGAAGAGGUGACUGGAAUUCCCAGUGUAGCGGUGAAAUGCGUAGAUAUUGGGAGGAACACCAGAUGCGAAGGCGGGUCACUGGGCCGAUACUGACGCUGAUGCGCGAAAGCCAGGGGAGCGAACGGG